CGUCGACAUGGCUGAUUCUCCCGCCAGCUCGGCACUUUUUCAGUGUCGUCAUGGUCUUCUUGAUGUCAAAAAAAGUAAAACUUUAAUUAAAUUAAAUUAAAUUAAAUUAAAUUAAAAUAAAUGAAACUCAAAUGCCACCGGUACAACCAGUCCCACAACUUAAAGGGAUGAGCAUCAUCUCCACUGCUAUAGUCCAGCACCGGGGAAGCAAGGACCGUUUCUCUGAGCAGCAGUGCGCCUUCUCCACCUGAUCUGGUCUGAUCUCUCCCUCCUUCCCUCUCCCCACUUCCCUGGUUUGUAGGGUGCACUUUGUUCACAGGAGUAUCCGCGCAAAAAAGAGUAAAUAAAUAAAUAAAUAAAUAAUAGGAAAGCCGCUGUUGCUAGCGGGAAGAGAAGCAAAGCGGUCUCCUGGAUUCCUAUUGGCCGGCGUGCGACCACGUGAGGAGGAAUCACCAGAGUGGCUCCAACAAAUCAAGGAAAUGUUCUAAUAUUAGAAAAUGUAUCUAGGCAGUGAUCAAGCAUCUGACCUCGUAACUCCACCUUCUUUACACUUGGAUUACCAGCAUCCAGGGAACACGCUAAUUCUACAUUUGCGUGACAAAAGCAAUAAAUGUGACCAGAUUUUAAAAAUUGUCAAGUAUACCUUUAUUCUUUUUUCCCCCAAAAAAUUGUGAAACACCAACUGCCAGUCAAUCUUCAUUACUUCUGUCCCAUUUUGGAUACUUUCAGGCCGACAGUUGCUUCAUUCAUUAAAAUGAGAUGCGGACACUUGGGAAUGUGUAGAAGACGGUUCUGUGAAGAGAAAACGACGUUAAAAGUAAAAUUAUACUUUGAAAUAUAGCCGCGUCUUGUUAAAAAAAACGCCAGUAAAAAUGUAACUGAAUAAUGCACAAUAAUAUAAAAGGCGGAAUAGUUCA